rnacentral:tRNA from 1 species
UGGCCCUAUAGCUCAAUUGGUUAGAGCACCCGGCUCAUAACUGGUAGGUUCCCCGUUCAAGUCGGGGUGGGGUCACCAA